UGGGGAAUAUUGCACAAUGGGGGAAACCCUGAUGCAGCGACGCCGCGUGAACGAAGAAGGUAUUCGUAUCGUAAAGUUCUGUCCUAUGGGAAGAUAAUGACAGUACCAUAGAAGAAAGCUCCUGCUAAAUACGUGCCAGCAGCCGCGGUAAUACGUAUGGAGCGAGCGUUGUCCGGUAUUAUUGGGCGUAAAGGGUACGCAGGCGGUUUAAUAAGUCGAAUGUUAAAGAUCGGGGCUCAACCCCGCAAAGCAUUGGAAACUGAUAAACUUGAGUAGUGGAGAGGAAAGUAGAAUUCCUAGGGUAGUAGUGAAAUACGUAGAUAUUAGGAGGAAUACCAGUAGCGAAGGCGACUUUCUGGACACAAACUGACGCUGAGGUACGAAAGCGUGGGGAGCAAACAGG
rnacentral:rRNA from 1 species